CCCAAAGGCUACAAAUUUCAUUCAGAUUGAUGCCUAAUGAACCCAACAUACAUAUUGUUAAAAUUACCUUGCUUUCUAUAAUUUAGGAAGUCUGGAUCCAUACAUUGGGUGCUGCUCUCCAGAAAGUGAUACUUCAUUCACAGCAGGUUGAAAUCCAAGCCCAAUUCCCCUGUGUUGCUUCAGCUCCGUUGCUUUGUGGAACUGCAUCUCCAGGUUCCGCUGCAGCUCGUCCUGCCCGUUCCUGCCCAGGGCCUUGGUCGCCGUGUGCGCAGCCGCCGAGGGAUCCCGGGGAGGCGCGGAGCCCUUUUUCAAGCCUCCCAUCAACCUCAAGAACUUCAGUUGUUGCUCAGGACUCUGAAAAGCAGCUGUGCUCCACUGGCCGAACCUCGUAUCCUGUGAGGAAAAACACUACAGUUUAAUAAAACCAAGACUAAGGAAGGCAAGCCAGGGCUAACAAGGCUGGAAGACUUCCCAAAAGAUCACAGAAUCACAGAAUGGACUGGGUUGGAAAAGACCUCAGAGAUCAUCCAGUCCAACCCUUGGUCCAACUCCAGUCCAUUCACUAGAUCAUGGCACUAAGUGCCAUGUCCAAUCUCAGUUUACAAACCUCCAGGGCCGGUGAGUCCAGCACCUCCUUGGGCAGCCAUUCCAAUGCCUGACCACUCUCUGCAAAGAAUUGCUUUCUCAUCUCCAGCCUCAAUUUCCCCUGGCAGAGUUGAAGCCCAUGGCCCCUUGUCCUAUUGCUGAUGCCUGGGAGAAGAGACCAAUCCCCACCUGGCUAGAACUGCCCUUCAGAUGUGACAAAAACUGCCUGAGCGCAUCUUCAUUAGCAUUUCAGUUCAUUUAACCUGGAAUCAAUGGACUUUCAGAACCUCCCUCCCUCUGUCCAUGGACAUCUCAGCUGUUCUUCUCUCUGGACAACAUGUACCCAGUGCCAAGAGCCAGACCUUGCCCCAUCGCUUCCCUCCUGCUCAGACAAUUGUCAGACUGAAUUCUUCUUCCCCCAGUCACUUGUUAUCUUGUCCUCUCCCUCCUGCCUGGUCAGGUCACUGUUGUUUGCUGCAGGGUCUUGCUAUGUUCAUUUUGGGGACACUGUUCAGCCUGGCUUAAAGCCUCCCAUGCAUUAACUGCCCUGCACGGUAUUGAAAUAACUCACUUCACAAUUUUCGGGAUUUUUCUUUUGUCCAAGUACAAGCAGAACUGUGGAUAACCCAAAAUACAUCACAAAGCAUACAAGACAACAUUUAUGAACUUCUGGGUUACCUAAGAACAGGCUUCAUUAUUGCAGGAUCUUAUUUGGCUCCUGAGCCACAGCCAGGAGCUCUGUGGUCAUUUAUACCUGUUUAUGGCAGGACUGCUACUCCCCAUUUUUCCUUCAAAAUUGGGGGUGAUAUUAAAUGGGAGGAUGUUUGAUUAUUAAUUAAACAGACUGAGCUGGCUAUAUCAAAGGAAAAAACUGUGAAUUUAGUUGUGGGGUUAAGUAAGGCUGAAAUCCUCCCAACUGAACAGCUGUAGUUUGCAUGGAAACAACCAUUCUGCGCCGGGCUGCCAACACUACACACGGCGUGCUGCACAAUAUUGCAAUGCUGGAGUAUCAUUCACUGUUACAGGCCAGAACACUUGCUGCUAAAAGAAAGCUACCCAUAACCCUUGAGUAUUUUUAGCUGACUCAAAGACAAGUUGCUGUAUAAGCCCAGGUCUGUGAUACAGAUGCAAACACACAUAUAUAUACAUAUACGUCCUCCCUUUGGAACGGGACACAUCUGCACAGCUGCAAAAUUAAUGAUGGCGCGUCAAACCCUGUGAUUUUGGUAAGUGAACUGCAAAGCUGUCAGGAGGCGGACUGAGCAGGACGCAAAGAGUCAAGAAUCAGCUUUCAAAGGCUGCAGUGAAGAGGUCAAAGUUUGGAGAGGACUGACUAAAUAUCGCACACGUUACCAGUUGUCAUCCCUUCACCUUUCCACGUGCGCCCGUUUCUGAAUGUCUGAGAAAUCUCCCAGGUAAGAAUUCAGAUACAAUCCCAUGAUUGCUGUCCCACAGCCUACAAUUAUUUAUAUUUCACAGCAAGCAGAAAGUGCUUCUGUUGCAAUUUGUUGUGGCUCCUUCUCCAGAGAAAAUGUUGCUUUUGAGGCCUGAUGAUGGGAAUUACUGCUCUGUACAACACCAACUGCUGUGGGAACUCACUGCUCAGCUCCCGGACACCCCUGGGAUCCUACAACCCCAUUCUCUAGCAUAACCGUGUGGCUGUGUCCACGUUCCCUGGCCACAUACAAAACACCGCAGUGAUUUCUGCAGGAAGGUGCUCUGGGACACAAUAUUUCCCUCACAUCCAGGUUCAUACGUACCUGUUGCGCUUGGGGACUGAAAACCUUAGUUUUGCCCGAUUCUCUAUCAAUUUCUUCUUGCAGAGCCUGCCGCCUCACCUAGCACACAGAAAAAACAGCACAAGACGCUAUCCCCUGGCCGUUACACCGCAGUUAAUUCAAUUCGCAAGGAAAAGAGAAGAAUAAAAGAAGUCGUUCUUUUCAAAUUUUUGCAAGGAUAAUUAAAAAGUUGCACGUGAUCCUUUGACACACUCAGCACAACAACUGGGACUUUUCAAGUGGUGUUUUAGAUGAAUACUUUGGUUUAUGUUUAAUCUUCUAAUGCAGGUAACAGCUACACAUGAGGCAAAGAAACCUGUGUUUAACCUUAUAAACUACUAUAAGCUUCUGA